UGUGAACUCGAAGAGUAGGGCGGGACACGUGGUAUCCUGUCUGAAUAUGGGGGGACCAUCCUCCAAGGCUAAAUACUCCUGACUGACCGAUAGUGAACCAGUACCGUGAGGGAAAGGCGAAAAGAACCCCGGCGAGGGGAGUGAAAAAGAACCUGAAACCGUGUACGUACAAGCAGUGGGAGCCUCUUUAUGGGGUGACUGCGUACCUUUUGUAUAAUGGGUCAGCGACUUAUAUUCUGUAGCAAGGUUAACCGUAUAGGGGAGCCGAAGGGAAACCGAGUCUUAACUGGGCGUUAAGUUGCAGGGUAUAGACCCGAAAUCCGGUGAUCUAGCCAUGGGCAGGUUGAAGGUUGGGUAACACUAACUGGAGGACCGAACCGACUAAUGUUGAAAAAUUAGCGGAUGACCUGUGGCUGGGGGUGAAAGGCCAAUCAAACCGGGAGAUAGCUGGUUCUCCCCGAAAGCUAUUUAGGUAGCGCCUCGUGAACUCAUCUUCGGGGGUAGAGCACUGUUUCGGCUAGGGGGCCAUCCCGGCUUACCAACCCGAUGCAAACUACGAAUACCGAAGAAUGUUAUCACGGGAGACACACGGCGGGUGCUAACGUCCGUCGUGAAGAGGGAAACAACCCAGACCGCCAGCUAAGGUCCCAAAGUCAUGGUUAAGUGGGAAACGAUGUGGGAAGGCACAGACAGCCAGGAUGUUGGCUUAGAAGCAGCCAUCAUUUAAAGAAAGCGUAAUAGCUCACUGGUCGAGUCGGCCUGCGCGGAAGAUGUAACGGGGCUAAACCAUGCACCGAAGCUGCGGCAGCGACGCUUAUGCGUUGUUGGGUAGGGGAGCGUUCUGUAAGCCGUUGAAGGUGUGCUGUGAGGCAUGCUGGAGGUAUCAGAAGUGCGAAUGCUGACAUAAGUAACGAUAAAGCGGGUGAAAAGCCCGCUCGCCGGAAGACCAAGGGUUCCUGUCCAACGUUAAUCGGGGCAGGGUGAGUCGACCCCUAAGGCGAGGCCGAAAGGCGUAGUCGAUGGGAAACAGGUUAAUAUUCCUGUACUUGGUGUUACUGCGAAGGGGGGACGGAGAAGGCUAUGUCAGCCGGGCGACGGUUGUCCCGGUUUAAGCAUGUAGGCGGAGGUUCCAGGUAAAUCCGGUACCUUAUUAACGCUGAGGUGUGAUGACGAGGCACUACGGUGCUGAAGUGAUAAAUGCCCUGCUUCCAGGAAAAGCCUCUAAGCAUCAGGUAACACGAAAUCGUACCCCAAACCGACACAGGUGGUCAGGUAGAGAAUACCAAGGCGCUUGAGAGAACUCGGGUGAAGGAACUAGGCAAAAUGGUGCCGUAACUUCGGGAGAAGGCACGCUGAUGUGUAGGUGAAGUCCCUGCGGACGGAGCUGAAAUCAGUCGAAGAUACCAGCUGGCUGCAACUGUUUAUUAAAAACACAGCACUGUGCAAACACGAAAGUGGACGUAUACGGUGUGACGCCUGCCCGGUGCCGGAAGGUUAAUUGAUGGGGUUAGCGGCAACGCGAAGCUCUUGAUCGAAGCCCCGGUAAACGGCGGCCGUAACUAUAACGGUCCUAAGGUAGCGAAAUUCCUUGUCGGGUAAGUUCCGACCUGCACGAAUGGCGUAAUGAUGGCCAGGCUGUCUCCACCCGAGACUCAGUGAAAUUGAACUCGCUGUGAAGAUGCAGUGUACCCGCGGCAAGACGGAAAGACCCCGUGAACCUUUACUAUAGCUUGACACUGAACACUGGUCCUUGAUGUGUAGGAUAGGUGGGAGGCUUUGAAGCGUGGACGCCAGUCUGCGUGGAGCCAACCUUGAAAUACCACCCUUUAAUGGCUGGUGUUCUAACGUGGACCCGUAAUCCGGGUUGCGGACAGUGUCUGGUGGGUAGUUUGACUGGGGCGGUCUCCUCCCAAAGAGUAACGGAGGAGCACGAAGGUUGGCUAAUCCUGGUCGGACAUCAGGAGGUUAGUGCAAUGGCAUAAGCCAGCUUGACUGCGAGCGUGACGGCGCGAGCAGGUGCGAAAGCAGGUCAUAGUGAUCCGGUGGUUCUGAAUGGAAGGGCCAUCGCUCAACGGAUAAAAGGUACUCCGGGGAUAACAGGCUGAUACCGCCCAAGAGUUCAUAUCGACGGCGGUGUUUGGCACCUCGAUGUCGGCUCAUCACAUCCUGGGGCUGAAGUAGGUCCCAAGGGUAUGGCUGUUCGCCAUUUAAAGUGGUACGCGAGCUGGGUUUAGAACGUCGUGAGACAGUUCGGUCCCUAUCUGCCGUGGGCGCUGGAGAAUUGAGGGGGGCUGCUCCUAGUACGAGAGGACCGGAGUGGACGCAUCACUGGUGUUCGGGUUGUCAUGCCAAUGGCACUGCCCGGUAGCUAAAUGCGGAAGAGAUAAGUGCUGAAAGCAUCUAAGCACGAAACUUGCCCCGAGAUGAGUUCUCCCUGAGACUUUAAGUCUCCUGAAGGAACGUUGAAGACGACGACGUUGAUAGGUCGGGUGUGUAAGCGCAGCGAUGCGUUGAGCUAACCGAUACUAAUGAACCGUGAGGCUUAACCUU
rnacentral:rRNA from 2 species